UGACCCGCAGCGGGAGAAUCCUCCAAUCCGGAGGCGCCGUAGGAGCAACUUCCUCCCCGGGAAUCUCUCAGGCUCAAUACCGCUGCGUCGAG
rnacentral:ncRNA from 2 species